rnacentral:rRNA from 1 species
UAUNGCACAAUGGGGGAAACCCUGAUGCAGCNACGCCGCGUGAAGGAAGAAGUAUCUCGGUAUGUAAACUUCUAUCGGCAGGGAAGAAAAUGACGGUACCUGGCUAAGAAGCCCCGGCUAACUACGUGCCAGCAGCCGCGGUAAUACGUAGGGGGCAAGCAUUAUCCGGAUUUACUGGGUGUAAAGGGAGCGUAGACGGAAGAGCAAGUCUGAUGUGAAAGGCUGGGGCUUAACCCCAGGACUGCAUUGGAAACUGUUGUUCUAGAGUGCCGGAGAGGUAAGCGGAAUUCCUAGUGUAGCGGUGAAAUGCGUAGGUAUUAGGAGGAACACCAGUGGCGAAGGCGGCUUACUGGACGGUAACUGACGUUGAGGCUCGAAAGCGUGGGGAGCAAACA